rnacentral:rRNA from 1 species
AUUGAACGCUGGCGGCAUGCUUACACAUGCAAGUCGAACGGUAACAGGUUAAGCUGACGAGUGGCGAACGGGUGAGUAAUGUAUCGGAACGUGCCCAGUCGUGGGGGAUAACUGCUCGAAAGAGCAGCUAAUACCGCAUACGACCUGAGGGUGAAAGCGGGGGAUCGCAAGACCUCGCGCGAUUGGAGCGGCCGAUAUCGGAUUAGGUAGUUGGUGGGGUAAAGGCCUACCAAGCCUACGAUCUGUAGCUGGUCUGAGAGGACGACCAGCCACACUGGGACUGAGGCACGGCCCAGACUCCUACGGGAGGCAGCAGUGGGGAAUUUUGGACAAUGGACGCAAGUCUGAUCCAGCCAUGCCGCGUGCGGGAAGAAGGCCUUCGGGUUGUAAACCGCUUUUGUCAGGGAAGAAAAGGGUGUUUCUAAUAAAGACGCCUCAUGACGGUACCUGAAGAAUAAGCACCGGCUAACUACGUGCCAGCAGCCGCCGUAAGAC